CUAAAUCCGCGCACAAAUCUAACGGAACAUUUCAAGGGAGACGACAGCGAUUUAUAAACCAUAGAUCAUCAUGCGCAAAAAAUGUCGUUGUCCUCCAGUAGGGGAUUCUCUCUGAGGACAACUGACAACGACAUCCAACCUUCCAAGUCACCCCAGACCCGCCACAGCACUCAGCAGGUCAGAGACACAGACUAGACUAACCCAGCUGUCUGGCAAUCAUCUCCACGACGACCUCUUCCCAGAGCUGGACGCCCCUACAAUGCCCGGACUCCACCUCCUGAAAGUGGGAGUGUAUGUGGGAGUGUCUUAAGACGACAGUGAAUGCCUUGGAAGGGCAUCCUCAACUUUCUUUCCCGG
ensembl:lncRNA